GAGCGAGAAAGGGUAGCAAUAUCCGAGUAAAGCGGCGCNACGGGUGAGUAACACGUGGGUAAUCUGCCUCGAAGUGGGGAAUAACACCGGGAAACCGGUGCUAAUACCGCAUAAUCUGAUGGGGUCUGCGGAUCUUGUCAGCAAAGGAGCAAUUCGCUUUGAGAGGAGCCCGCGGCUGAUUAGCUAGUUGGUGAGGUAAUGGCUCACCAAGGCCACGAUCAGUAGCCGGUCUGAGAGGACGGUCGGCCACACUGGAACUGAGACACGGUCCAGACUCCUACGGGAGGCAGCAGUGGGGAAUUUUUGGCGAUGGGGGCAACCCUGACCAAGCAACGCCGCGUGGGUGAUGAAGUCUCUUGGGACGUAAAACCCUUUCGACGGGGACGAAACCGCAAGGUUGACGGUACCCGUAGAAGAAGCCCCGGCUAACUCCGUG
rnacentral:rRNA from 1 species